rnacentral:rRNA from 1 species
UACGAAGGGGGCUAGCGUUGCUCGGAAUCACUGGGCGUAAAGGGUGCGUAGGCGGGUCUUUAAGUCAGGGGGGAAAUCCUGGAGCUCAACUCCAGAACUGCCUUUGAUACUGGAGAGCUUGAGUCCGGAAGAGGUGAGUGGAACUCCGAGUGUAGAGGUGAAAUUCGUAGAUAUUCGGAAGAACACCAGUGGCGAAGGCGGCUCACUGGUCCGGUACUGACGCUGAUGUGCGAAAGCGUGGGGAGCAAACAGG